GCCGAAUGGCGUAGUGGUUAGUGACCCUGGUUAAGGUCCCGGGUUCGAUUCCCGGCUGGGGCA
rnacentral:tRNA from 1 species